rnacentral:rRNA from 1 species
GUCUUUAAGAAUUUAAUUUUAAGUCUAAUCUGCCCAAUGAUUUGAUUUAAUGGCUGCAGAAAUUUAACUGUACAAAGGUAGCAUAAUAAUUUGUUCCUUAAUUAGGGACUAGUAUGAAAGAUUAAAUGAAAUAUAAACUGUUUCAAUUAAUUUAAAAAUAUUAAAUUUUUUAUUUAAGUAAAAAAACUUAAAUAAUUUAUAAAGACGACAAGACCCUAUAGAAUUUAAUUAAUAAAGUUAUAAAUUUAUAUCUUUAAAUAAUUUUAUUGGGGCAAUAAAAAAAUUAAUUUAAUUUUUUUUUAAAAAUACAUUUAUUUAUGAAUUUUUAAUCUUAAUUUUUAAAUUAAAAAAAUUAAUUACCUUAGGGAUAACAGCAUAAUUUUUUUUAAAAGAUCUUAUUAAUAAAAAAGUUUAU